GGCUGGUCUAAAGGUAGUGAGUUAUCUCAACUGACUGUUCAGUUACAGUUGGAACUGCUUAUUCUACCAUUUCUCCCCUUCUCACUACCUGCACUUGACUAGUCCAAA
ensembl:misc_RNA Y_RNA Y RNA